GAUUUCUGGCUUGAAACAUUUAGCCGGCCACGGUUUCGUGUGUUAGUGCUUUUAUGUUCUGGCCAUCCUUCCCAUUUGCUCUUUUACUCUUUCUUCAUUGACAGGGUAAAGGUAUGGGAUCGUUUACUUUGAAAAAAUUAGAGUGUUUCAAGCAGGCUGUAAUGCUAUGAAUACAUUAGCAUGGAAUAAUAAUUUAGGACUUCGGUUCUAUUUUGUUGGUCUUCUAGGACUGAAGUAAUGAUUGAUAGGGAUAGUUGGGGGUGCUAGUAUUCAGCGGCCAGAGGUGAAAUUCUCGGAUUCGCUGAAGACUAACUUAUGCGAAAGCAUU
rnacentral:rRNA from 1 species